CAAACAGCACUGGGGGAGAAGAGAGAUUACCUCGCUGCCCCUCAGAGGGGGCCGGACAGAGGCUGAAGAAUGUGCCUUUGCUGACAUUGUUUCAGAAACCGGAAGCAUCUUUGUCUCAGAUGCCUCGGAUGCCCAGAGCCUGGAAGGUUUCCUCAUCUGUGUUGAAGAAUUUAGGGCAGCUCGGUGGCCUACUGGAUGGAGCAGCAAGCCUAGAGUCAGGAAGAUUCAUCUUCUUCAGCUCAAAUCUGGCAUCUGCCACUUCCUAAAUGUGUGACCUCCGGCCAUUCUCUCAAUCCUAUCUGCCUCAGUUUGCUCAUCUGUAAAAUGAACUGGAGAAGGAAAUGGCCAACCACUACAGCAUCUUUUGCCAAGAAAAUGGACUCCUGAAGAGUUGGACACAACUGAACAUGCUGAAGAAAAGUGCACAAAUGAAUGUUAAAAUAUACUCUGUGAUUAGUCUUAAGUCUGCUAGAAAUAAUUUUAUUUAAAGUGUAUCCAAGGCAUUUCUAGGUUGGAGAGAGAUGUCUCACUGGCGUAGUCUUCUGGGCCUUCCAAUGUGACUGUCCCCGAGAGAAUUCAAGGUAGCAUUUUUACAGGAAUCUCAAACAAAGACGAAAUCAUGAUGUGUUAAAAAUCCAGGUUGGGGAGACCAUUUGAGAACGGUCACCAUCCAGUGCCUUCCUGAACCCUGGCCAGCCCCAUCGCUUCUUGGGGUCAGUAUCUCCACCUUGAAUUUCAAGAGAGAAGGUGCUGUCCCUUGGCCGGUCCCUGGGUGGGUGGUGGAGCCACCCACUCCAAGAAGGUGGGAAGACAGUGAUCUCAUCUAGACGAGAGAUGAGUUUGCUCACGAGCCUUUCUUGAUCUCACAUGAGGAAAAUCUUAGUGUUGGUUCUCUUUUUUGAAAGGGAAAAUGGAGAAAUAGUAUUUUUUUAGUUUUCUAAAGAAAAAUUAAAGAGGCUCUUGAAUAUGCAUCCACAUUUGUAAAGGAGGAAGUUGGAUCAAAUCUUUGUUAAAGGUUUUAAAGGAUUAAAAAAAAUUUUUUAGAUUUUAAACAGUUUUUGCCCUCAAGGAGCCAGAUAGUUGAGG
rnacentral:lncRNA from 1 species